AGAGUUUGAUCAUGGCUCAGAACGAACGCUGGCGGCAUGCUUAACACAUGCAAGUCGAACGAGACCUUCGGGUCUAGUGGCGCACGGGUGCGUAACGCGUGGGAAUCUGCCCUUUGCUACGGAAUAACUCAGAGAAAUUUGUGCUAAUACCGUAUGAUGUCGAAAGACCAAAGAUUUAUCGGCAAAGGAUGAGCCCGCGUAGGAUUAGCUUGUUGGUGAGGUAAAAGCUCACCAAGGCGACGAUCCUUAGCUGGUCUGAGAGGAUGAUCAGCCACACUGGGACUGAGACACGGCCCAGACUCCUACAGGAGGCAGCAGUGGGGAAUAUUGGACAAUGGGCGAAAGCCUGAUCCAGCCAUGCCGCGUGGGUGAAGAAGGCCUUAGGGUUGUAAACCCCUUUCAGCGGGGACGAUAAUGACGGUACCCGCAGAAGA
rnacentral:rRNA from 1 species